rnacentral:rRNA from 1 species
CACCGCGGUUAUACGAGUAACUCAUAUUAACACACCCCGGCGUAAAGAGUGAUUAAAGAAUGACCUCUAACUACUAAAGUUUAGACCUCAUAAAACUGUUAUACGUAUCCAUGAGUGGAAUAAACAACAACGAAAGUGACUUUAUAUAUUAAGGAACCUUGAUGUCACGACAGUUGGGACCCAAACUAGGAUUAGAUACCCUACUAUGCCCAACCACAAACUUAAACAACAUCCCACUAUAUUGUUCGCCAGAGUACUACAAGCGCUAGCUUAAAACCCAAAGGACUUGGCGGUAUCCCAUACCCACCUAGAGGAGCCUGUUCUAUAACCGAUAAUCCACGUUCAACCUCACCACUUCUUGCCAUUACCGUCUAUAUACCGCCGUCGUCAGCCCACCCUGUGAAGGACUAAAAGUAAGCAAAAAGAAUAAAACUCCAAAACGUCAGGUCGAGGUGUAGCAAAUGAAGUGGGAAGAAAUGGGCUACAUUUUUUUCCAAAAACAUACGAAUGGUAAACUGAAAACAUACCUAAAGGUGGAUUUAGCAGUAAGAGGAGAUCAGAAUACUCCCCUGAAAUCGGCUCUGGGAUAAGCACACACCGCCCGUCACUCUCCUCAAAAACAACCCAUCCUUUUCCAUAAACACAUCUCUUUAAUAAGAGGAGGCAAGUCGUAA